rnacentral:lncRNA from 1 species
GCACAAACAGGACAAACAUGAUUUAAACAAACUUCAUUGAAUUAAUACAAUCAUCCUAACUAAACAGAUUUAAGGUUGUUAACAAGAUAACAAAGCACAUUGCAAACAUGAUUAAAUUAAAAUAACAAUGUAAAGGAAGAAUAAACUUUAUCGAAUCAGCAGUCUUGUGACUGUGAUUGAAGAUGUUCUCCUCCGAUCCUUGUGUUGCUUCUUUGCUAAUGGCUCCUCAAGGUGGCCGACAAGAGAUGAUCUUCUCAAGGUUUUGUUGGCUAAGGGAGAAUGGAAAUAUGGGGUGUUAUGCAUGAGAGGAAGAAUGCUUGUGAAAUGAGAGAUGAGGGAAAUGAGUAAGGGAUGUUGGAUAUAGGGAAUGAGUAGGGUAUUUAUACUUGGAUUAGAUGGUAGGGUUUACCAAAAAUAAGGAUUGGAAUUCUUCAAUUUUCUCCAUUGCUUGGCUAGCCACAUUUUGUACAAAAAGGUGGAUGAUGGUUCCUUUUAUUUAAGCAUAGAAUCAUGCUAAAUUUAGGUAUGGGUUGGACGGUUUAAAGGGAAACCUUUUUGUGCUAAUUUCCAAUGAUUCUCCAAAUGCAGGGACCUCUAAAUAAUUGUCUCAAAAGUUGAUUUUUGACUGCCCAAUUACCUAUGUUGAAUUUGGGCCUCUCUUCUCUUAGGUUGGACGGUUUCACAACCCACUAAACUUGUCAAACUUGUCCAUCAUGUAUCAUCUUUUUUUUUCAAGGUCAGAGUAACAUUUUGAUGACCCAUUUAACAUGGUUUUGUCGUCGAACAUAGGAAGAAAAUAGCUCAUGUUCAUGCAACAUUAUGAUAGGCUCUUUAUCAAAUCAACUUCCUGGUCCCCUGCAUGAUAAAAUAUAAGACAUUAAUAAAUAACAUGAAAUAAUAUAAUUUAUGCACCAAAAUAAUACAAUAAAGCUCAUAUUUACAUUUCUUUUAUAAAUUCAUGCCCAUCAUCGGAAUACAAACAAAAUUCACUUAAUUAAUUAACAAAUACUCAGGAUUAGUAUUAUUUUUAAGUAAGACCUAUACAAUUUUGAGUUUACAUAUAGUCGAAGGUGUAAUCUUUUGUCAUUGCAUCGUCAAUAGUAAAUCAAAUGCAAUCAAAUAAGAUGAAUUAUUCUCCAUGAUGUGCAAGUAAAUAAGCAAUGGUGUCAUUGAAGACAACGAGCCAAAUACAAGUGAGCCAGUUCGGGUGAUGUGAAUACUUGAUCAAUAAGAUUGGUGAACCAUCCUAAUACAAGCAUGCUAGCAUAAUGUUGAUAAGGUAUGAAACACUCACUAAGUUUAUUUGAACUUAUGCAUGUGUCCUUAUGUAUUGCAGGUAAAAAGGAUAAUGCGUGGAUUUGUAGAGGGACCAGGCCAGAAUCCGUCAUGCUCGGACAGACUUGCUCCUUGGUGUAAUAUGCAUACAGCGGGGCAAACUAGAGGUGGAGCCUUAGGGUCUUUGUCAUCUUUGUAAUUGAG